AACGAACGCUGGCGGCAUGCCUAACACAUGCAAGUCGAACGAGACCUUCGGGUCUAGUGGCGCACGGGUGCGUAACGCGUGGGAACCUGCCCUUAGGUUCGGAAUAACUCCCCGAAAGGGGUGCUAAUACCGGAUAAUGUCUUCGGACCAAAGAUUUAUCGCCUUUGGAUGGGCCCGCGUUGGAUUAGCUAGUUGGUAGGGUAAAAGCCUACCAAGGCGACGAUCCAUAGCUGGUCUGAGAGGAUGAUCAGCCACACUGGGACUGAGACACGGCCCAGACUCCUACGGGAGGGAGGAGUAGAGAAUAUUAGAAAAAGGGCGAAAGGCUGAUCCCGCCAUGCCGGGUGAGUGAUGAAGGCCUUAGGGUUGUAAAGCUCUUUUACCCGGGAUGAUAAUGACAGUACCGGGAGAAUAAGCUCCGGCUAACUCCGUG
rnacentral:rRNA from 1 species